UAGCUCAUUUGGUAGAGCAUGGUGUUUGCAACACCAGGGAUGUGGGUUCAUUUCCCAU
rfam:Salmo salar isolate Sally breed double haploid chromosome ssa19, whole genome shotgun sequence.